ensembl:lncRNA
GGCAAAUAUAAAGCCACUGUCAUUCCUCCUGUCUGUGUAUCUACUGUUGUAACUCAUGUGAGAGGAAUAAACCAGCGCUCCCUAUUUCUUUAGUUAUUUAUUUAUUUGCUGUGGAUCAGAAAGGGCCAACCUGCUUGAGAUCUUCUGAGAGACCCCCGUCUCUUCAAAAUGCCAAGAGAAGGAGAUUAGACACCAAUGGUGAUGCACAGAAGUACAAAGGGAAGAAGCUUGAGGUGAGGUGUGAUCUCACAAAAUGUUGCAAUUGCAUUCACGAGCAAACAGCAGAGGAGGACAGUGAGACAGUUAAAAGCAGAAGAAUGAACAACCAUCAGCUACUCUGUUCAGCAGCUGCUGUUUCUAAGGAAGCUGAUUAGAAACUGACAUGUGAUUUCUUAUUUAAAACUGUGAUUAGUUUGCUUCCUGCUCCGUUGUUGACUGGAUGGAAAAUAUGCCAGACUUUUCCUUCAGAUUGGGAGAGACACUGUUCAGAUGAUGAACUUCUUGAUACAAAGAGGAAACUGGAUUUCAAUUUGAAAGGUGGCUUUUCUCUCCAAGAUGCCUUAAAACAAACAAACAAACAAACAACAACAACAACAACAAACUGGACUGCAUAAAAGUAGGCAUGUAACAUCCAUCACUGGGCUCAGGAUAUGCUCAUUCAUUACACUGCCACAUCUGCAUGCAGGUUCUGGAUGCCUUCUGUAGGAUCCAUUUCGUGCCAGCAGGAUGAGUUAAUCGAUUUGAGCUGCUGGAAAAUGAAUCAGUUUCACUUAGUGACCACAGAAUUGCUUGAUCUAAUGGAGAGGAAGAAAACCAGCCUUGAGAGAGAGGUGACCUUAGUCUGAUGGUUAGGGCAUUUAGGUGGGUGGCAGCAGGCAUUAUUAAAUUCCAGCUCAAAAGUAGGUGGGACAGGAUUUAUUGUAACUUGUCUCAGCUACACUGUAAGGUUGUUUUGCUACUAGGGCAUUGUGUGUAAGGUGAGCGUGUAACAGUCACCCUCUAGUCACUUUCUCUAAGGGUGGAUAGGGAGGUGUACACCAAGCAUUCCUGCUUUGUGGCUUUGGUCAGGAAGCCUGGGUGAGAAGAUUCUUUCUGUAAGAGUAAUGGCAGGGUUCAGAGAAGGGCUGUUUCACAGCAGCUCUGUGUUAUGACAUACUUGUAACCUCAGUGUCUGGUUGCCAGCAGAAAUUAAAACAUAGACUUCACGUGCACCUACAGUUUGAUGGCAUUUCACCAGGUACAUUGGGAAUCUGAGAGAUUUUGUCAGUGUUGCAAGUUCCUCAGAAUUCAGUGAUGUGUUUCAUGCAGUUCCAUCAGUGUAAGUUUUAAGACGUGACCAUGAGUGGAAAGGCUGUCAGGAAUAUUCUGUGAUAAACAAGAGAAUAUUUUUUUUCCUUUGGAUCAGUUGAGAAUAACGCACAAGGACAUAAAGAAAGGGAAUUGGUGGAAAUAGUAGUAGUAUCAAAUACCAGAAUCUGUAACAAUUCAGUAUAAUAAAGCCUGCAGUAUAAGUGCCUGCAGAAAUGUAUACGGUAGAUGCUUGCUUUACACUGCCACCCUCAUGCAGAGAUUUUUGCUUAAGAAAUGCCACCUUUAGUUUGUGUCAGGAAUAUGAAAUGACCCUGUCCUAUGAACGACUUACAAAUAUUUGGCAUUUUGAAUCUUUCAUCAGCUAUCUCUCUUGACCUUGUUUGCCCUGUUGUAGACUAAUAAAUAGCAAAAAAAACCCUUGCUGUUGCAAUUCUGACCCAGUCCUAAC